CAUGAAUGAUGAAAACGAUGAUUAGAUAGAAGUUUCGGCGAUGUUGUUACACUCAGGCAUAAAACUCAGUUAGAGAUGACGAGUUUAAAAAGCUAGGGACGUUUCGUAUUUCCAUUGAUGAUGCUGACAUG
rnacentral:snoRNA from 1 species